UUUCAUUUUUUUUUUACAAAUCCUUUCAUCAAUUCCUUCCCGUAUUCUUAUGUGGUGCUUUCACCGUUCAGCUGCAUAACCUAGUUUUCCACCAUGCAUCAAUAGCCCGACCAGACUUCGGCCCUUCUUCAUUCAGCUUGACCAAACUUCGGCCUUUCCUUAUUCCCUCAACCAACCUUAGUUGUUCGCAUCUCAACCUCUUUUCCUGUUUGCAGCUUGACCACCCUUCAAUGUAUUAUGCUGAACAAGUAACUUUAAUUUCUCUCUCAAAUCAGUUGUUUUUCUUUUCUUCUACUAUGUUUUCGUCUCCUUCUUUUGGGUUAUCAUAUUUAUUAUAUUUAACUGUUAGGGUUUAUGGUUUGUUAAAAUCUUUGAUUAUUUGGGUAUAAUGAAUGGUUAAAUUCUUGUUGAAAUUUAUGUUUAUCUUAAAACCUUUUUGGGAUUAUAGGAGGAGUGUUUUUCAUUUUUAUUGUCAGGAGUGGGAGGUUGGGUUGGGAUUUGGAGUGGGAAAGUGACGAGUAAGACGAGAUCGGAAGGUAGUGAUGAAAUGGAUUGAGAGGGAAAUCAGUGUUAUUAGGGGUGUCGACUUAUGUCGAUCCAGUUUUCAAUGUUGAAUUCCGAGAAUCAUAGGACUGUGGAGUGAGGGUUUAGGGGAGGGAAUUAGAAUAUUGUAAGAGUUAAAUGACUAUCUUGACACUACAAGAUGUCAAGAGAAUUAAGGCAAUAGCAAUUAGAUAUGACAUUGUUUAGUGAGGAUAGAGACAUAACAUGGAAGCUGAAGAAUGAGGUAUCCCUAAUUUUAAAUGAUAAUUCUCAUUUAAACUUCAUACUCAUUGUGUUUGACUUCUUAAUUUUAUUAAAGCUGCAGUGGGUAGCCAAAGUCAAAACUUGGAAGUGGAUGGAAGUUAAGGUUCCAGGUUUUUCAUGUUCUAUUAAACUAGCAUGGUUUGAUGUUUCUACUAGUAAUUUCUAGUUGUGCUAUAUUGGUUGAUACCUUGUUUAUCUUGUUGCAUUUUUUUUAUCGUUGGGCUGAUUUGUGUUAUGAUACACUUCAAUAUUCACGAUAUUGAGACUUUUAAGUUGUUUCAUAAAGUGAAUUUAGGAUGUAAAUGGUUGGAUAAAUUAUAAAUAAAUAAAUCUAUGGUAGGUUCCUUGUGUUCAAUGAAAGCCUCAAGUGGAAGUUCAACCUCUUUGCAUACAUGCUGUCCAUUUUGAAUAUUUGGCUCACACAAUCUAUUCCCUGCCUCCUCUUUGAUUGUACUGUCUCUAGUUCUUGUAAAAGUUUUGGGAACUUACUUCCUAACCCCUUUUGACUUUCAAGUGUUGUAUUAAGAAAUAUUAAAAGGUAAAUAUAUUUAGUCUUUAUGAAAUAUUCUCUUAUGGGGUUUAGUUCUUAUAAAUAUUUUAUUGAUGUUAAGUGUCAUUUGAAUAUUUUUAGAGGCUAAACUUAAGUGAAGAGUUUUACUACUUAGGUGAUAUCAUGUCAUGAUCAUUUAUAGUAUGGUGGAAAGCAUAAUUGUCUUAAGAAUGGUGGUUAGUAAGACUUUGAGUUAUAUAGGAUUGAACAUAAAUUUGUUUAGAAGAAUUCUUUUUGGACCAACUUCAUUAGAAACUGUACAAAGUAAAUCAGAUGGAGUGUAUGCCGGUGAGAAAUUAUUAAGAAUAAAAGCAAAAGAAAUUAUAAGUUUUUUCUUUCUUUUCAUAGGAAAUUAUGCAUGGCUAGGCUUGCCGAUUGCCGUUAAUGUUAAAGGGGUUAUGCACUGCUUCUUGUUUUUGGAGAAUUGAUUUAGCUGAGAAAAGUAUUAUGAACAUGAAGGAAUGCUUCCCAUAAUCGGUGAUCUUCUCGUUGAACUCACUUCUCUCUACAAGCUUACCCUAAUGUUGUACAUUGAGCAAGGUAUCAAUAAAGAUGUUGAUGAGGACGUAGACGCAAGUGACCAGUUUAAAGAGGACGAUUCAAGUGAUGAGGGUGAAGUAGGUGAAGAAUUUUAAGAGGACGAUUCAAGUGAUGAGGAUGAAGUAGGUGAAGAAUUUUAAGAGGACGACAUAGGUGAUAGAUUUUAAGAGGAGGACAUAAAUGAUGAAAAGGAUGAUGGAGAUGACGAUUAGUUUGACAAACUUAAAUGAGAUGGAUGUUGUUGUUUUAGGCUUUUGCUUAAGCAUUAAACUUAAAGAAACUGUGCAAUUUUUUAUUUAGUAUUAAAUAAUGUUAGCCAUCGUGUCUAUUGUGUACGUAUUUGAGUUAAUGUUUGAAGCUAUGUA